rnacentral:rRNA from 1 species
AACGAACGCUGGCGGCAGGCCUAACACAUGCAAGUCGAGCGAGGACUUCGGUUCUAGCGGCGGACGGGUGAGUAACGCGUGGGAAUGUGCCCUUCUCUACGGAAUAGCCCUGGGAAACUGGGAGUAAUACCGUAUACGCCCUAUUGGGGAAAGAUUUAUCGGAGAAGGAUCAGCCCGCGUUGGAUUAGGUAGUUGGUGGGGUAAUGGCCUACCAAGCCGACGAUCCAUAGCUGGUUUGAGAGGAUGAUCAGCCACACUGGGACUGAGACACGGCCCAGACCCCUACGGGGGGCAGCAGUGGGGAAUUUUAGACAAUGGGGGCAACCCUGAUCUACCCAUGCCGGGGGAGUGAUGAAGGCUUUAGGGUUGUAAAGCUCUUUCAGCUGGGAAGAUAAUGACGGUACCAGCAGAAGAAGCCCCGGCUAACCCCGU